rnacentral:misc_RNA from 1 species
GUCAUCAUUCCAGUCAAGACCUGAUCAAAUUAUUAUGCAACGCCACUUUACACGACAUAACACUUAAAUAUCGUUGUGGGGCUGUACACAAACUUUCUUGUUAGCAUCCACAGCGAACAUAACAAACUUGGCUUGCCAAGUACUACACUGCAGGCAACUUGCUUUAUAAUUUAGGUUUGCGCUACCUAUGAUGACGGAAUCUGGCAUUUAUCUCUCCUUCCCCCUUUAUCUUUUGAUUAUGCUUGUCAUGGGCAGCAAAAUGCCAAGAAACGCGAUGCAAAUUUGCAAGGACCAUCACAUCAAUUAUAGGCUCAAUGUAUUUCGUUCAAUUAAGAUGCACAGGAAGAUCAAUAAUGCCAUUAUUGCCUCAGAAGAACCUGUUGCUAAGGUCGACAGGUUUCACUUUAUCCUCCACUAAAGCAUAGACCACUGCUGUUCUAGAUGGUGUAUACACCAUGAAGGACCGAGGCCGGUUAUCAUACCACCCUUCAGAGCUGAAGUACUCUGCAUUAUGAUUAAGCCUGCCGAAGCCUCCAAACAAGGGAUCAUCUGAAUCCAAGACAAUCUUGUACUUUCCUGGCUUUAAGCAGCCAACUCGGUAAUCUGAAUAGCUGCUAGUCCAAUGAAAAUUGAAUACAAAAACCAGGUUUCCCCUCUCGAAGACAAUGAUCCGAUCUCCUUCAUCUUUCCGUGAUAUGUAUUGGUGCUCAGAAGUCAUGAAACCAUAGGC